GGGUUCGAUCAUACCAGCGUUAAGUGCGCUUGGGCUAAAGUAGUAUUGGGAUGGGUGACCUCUUGGGAAGUCCUAGUGUUGCACCCU
rnacentral:rRNA from 1 species